GGGGGGUGCUGUCCUGCAUCACGUGGGUCGGCGCCACGCUGAGCCCGGCAGCGCUUCCCAUAGACGGAACCCAUCGCUGCACGGGGGAGUUUUGGAUUUUUAGGGCCGUGAACGGCUCAUGACAGCGGGUUCCCCGUGACUGAGCAGUCCCCGCGCUGCUUAUGGGGCCCAGGCCAGGGUGCAGGGUGCACGCCCAGGGCCGGCUCCAGCAGGACCUGGGGACAAAGGGGAGCGCCGGAGGCUCCCGGGUCUCCUGUCUGGCGGCCCAAUUCGUCUCGCCUGAGAAGCACCCCUUGCCCACUUUCAGGCACGGCUUUCUUCCCCACCAGCCCGGGCGUCGGUGUGCUGGAAAUAGUGAUGGAAAGUAAUUUUGCUUUGCAGGACGGCAUAGUAAACCCGACAGUAAGAAAAGACUUGAAGACGGUGCCGAAAUUCUACUGCUGUCCCAUCGAGGGCUGCCCCAGAGGCCCCGACAGACCCUUCUCACAGUUCUCUCUCGUGAAACAGCACUUCAUGAAGAUGCACGCCGAGAAGAAGCACAAGUGC
rnacentral:lncRNA from 1 species